CUCUGACCCCAAGCAGGACGUAUGAGGAAAAUCCUGUCUGCAUUCGUAGCUUUGAUUAUAUGCUCACUCUUGGGCAUAGAUAUCUAUGCUCUUGGGCAAUUUAUAGUCGUCCAACUCACCAAGAAAUGAAUACAUUUUCUGGCUUGUUUCGAUGUGUAUGGCGGCAGGGAAGACGAAACAUUUCAACAUCAAGUAUUCUUCGCUACUACAGCUAUGAACCUGGAUUUCCAAUCGCUGGCAGACACCCGAAAAUUACAACUGCUCAAGAAGCUGUAUCUGCUAUAAAAUCAAGUAGGCGUUUUUAUAUAAUUUUUUUCCAAUGCAC